rnacentral:rRNA from 1 species
GGAAUUUUUCGCAAUGGGCGCAAGCCUGACGAAGCAACGCCGCGUGGGGGAUGAAGGUCUUCGGAUCGUAAACCCCUGUCGACCGGGACGAAAGCAUCCGACCUAACACGUCGGCGUGGUGACUGUACCGGUGGAGGAAGCCACGGCUAACUCUGUGCCAGCAGCCGCGGUAAUACAGAGGUGGCAAGCGUUGUUCGGAAUUACUGGGCGUAAAGGGCGCGUAGGCGGUCUUGUAAGGCCCGUGUGAAAGCCCCCGGCUCAACUGGGGAAUGGCACGGGAAACUGCGAGGCUUGAGUUCGGGAGAGGGAAGCGGAAUUCCGGGUGUAGCGGUGAAAUGCGUAGAUAUCCGGAGGAACACCGGUGGCGAAGGCGGCUUCCUGGACCGACACUGACGCUGAGGCGCGAAAGCUAGGGGAGCAAA